AUUGAACGCUGGCGGCAUGCCUUACACAUGCAAGUCGAACGGCAGCACGGGUGCUUGCACCUGGUGGCGAGUGGCGAACGGGUGAGUAAUACAUCGGAACAUGUUCUGUAGAGGGGGAUAGCCCGGCGAAAGCCGGAUUAAUACCGCAUACGAUCUUCGGAUGAAAGCGGGGGACCUUCGGGCCUCGCGUUAUAGGGUUGGCUGAUGGCUGAUUAGCUAGUUGGUGGGGUAAAGGCCUACCAAGGCGACGAUCAGUAGCUGGUCUGAGAGGACGACCAGCCACACUGGGACUGAGACACGGCCCAGACUCCUACGGGAGGCAGCAGUAGGGAAUUUUGGACAAUGGGCGAAAGCCUGAUCCAGCAAUGCCGCGUGUGUGAAGAAGGCCUUCGGGUUGUAAAGCACUUUUGUCCGGAAAGAAAACCUUGGCCCUAAUCCGGUCAGGGGAUGACGGUACCGGAAGAAUAAGCACCGGCUAACUACGUG
rnacentral:rRNA from 1 species